rnacentral:lncRNA from 1 species
AUCAAGAAAGGUCAACAUCAGAGCGUUUUGGAUUCAAUGAAAUAUGAUAAAAAUACUACAGGUAGUGUUGCAGAACUUUGCUCCUUAGUUCAGCUGAAACUGGGUUCCUGUCACAGGACCACGAAGGAUUAGGAACACAGACUCAUUGAAGGGUGAGGGGAACAGAAUUUAUUGGGCAAAAAAAGGAAAAGAAGAAGAAGAAAAGACUCCCAGCAAAGUGAGAGGGAGUCCUGCUAACAGGCCCCCAACGUCACAGAUUGAUUCCAGGUCACACACAUGAGCUGAAGAGGCCAGGCUCCUCCCCGACCACACGGGAAAGUUACAUCGAGUGUGCCUGCCUCUCCUGCCUCUCCUUCCACCUCCUCUAACUCUCCUGCUUCUACCACCCCUGAGACAGCAAGACCAACCUCUCGUCAGCCUAUUCAAUGUGAAGAAAAUAAGGAGGAAGACCUUAUGAGGACCUACGUCCAAUCAAUAAAUAGCUUGCGGGAGGUUCUGGAGUCCCAUGGUUAUUAAUCUCUGGAGGCUUCACCAUCCUUUGUGGGUUCCUUUAAUUAUCUCCAUUGCCUCAAAAGCUGAAAAAGCAAGUCUUGCAGUUUGGUGGGAGAGAGUAUGCAGUCACCAACAUGGCAUGAAUUUAGGAGUGAAUAAACGAAAGAAAAGAAAAAAACCUAUUAUUUAG